UCUUUCAGUCUUUCAUUCCUCUCCUCGGCGCCUCCCUUCCUUAAUCAAACUUCAGUUCCUCCCUUCCUUAAUCCUCCAUCAGCUUUUGACUUCGAUCGGAUUCUUCUGAGGCGAAGCGGUUACAACCAAGGCUUUUCUGGGUUUGAAUCUUCCUCUCUUCGUGUCAUUUAAUACUACUGCUACUCUCACUCCUUCAUCACGUAGAUCUGAUAACCAGCCCCAGACAACAAAUCAUGAUGAAGUUAUUGGCUGACAGUUUGGAUAUCUUGUAUCACAUGUCUUCGUCCUUUCCGAGCUUUGUUGCCAAGGUGGUAACUUGGUAUCUACUAGAGGUGUUAAUGGUGGAAAAGAAGCCUCAGGUUCCUGCUCCUGUAGCAAAAUCCAGUAGCCACUAGCCAAGGUAAUAGAAUAGAUCUGAGUUUAAAAGAUCCGAGCUUUGUUGCCAAGGACAACGAGUUGGUCCGGUCGAAUUGUGAAGCAAGGCUAAAAGGAGGAUGUUUAGCUUUAUCAGUGGGUAUGUCUAUCAGUAAACUUUUGAUGUUUAGCUUGACUAUUGGCUUGUUCUUUUUGUCUGUCUAAUUGAUGGUCAUCUGCUAUCUACUUCUAGAUUUGGUCUAUUGUGUUAGAAUUCUUCUGUUUUACACUUACACUUUGUAUCUUGAUCUGAAGUAUGAGUAUUGU